rnacentral:rRNA from 1 species
AUUAAACGCUGGCGGCAUGCCUUACACAUGCAAGUCGAACGGCAGCACGGGGGCAACCCUGGUGGCGAGUGGCGGACGGGUGAGUAAAGCAUCGGAACGUAUCCUGGAGUGGGGGAUAACGUAGCGAAAGUUACGCUAAUACCGCAUAUUCUGUGAGCAGGAAAGCAGGGGAUCGCAAGACCUUGCGCUCUGGGAGCGGCCGAUGUCGGAUUAGCUAGUUGGUGGGGUAAAGGCCUACCAAGGCGACGAUCCGUAGCGGGUCUGAGAGGAUGAUCCGCCACACUGGGACUGAGACACGGCCCAGACUCCUACGGGAGGCAGCAGUGGGGAAUUUUGGACAAUGGGCGGAAGCCUGAUCCAGCCAUGCCGCGUGAGUGAAGAAGGCCUUC